CAACCGGAAUAACUAGCCGAAAGGUUAGCUAAUACUGGAUAGAGCGCAUCUUUCGUAAAGAUUGAUGCGGGAAAGGGUGGCGUAGUAAUACGCUAUUGUGCUGAGAUGAGCCUGCGUCUCAUUAGCUAGUUGGUAAGGUAACGGCUUACCAAGGCAACGAUGGGUAGCUGGUCUGAGAGGACGAUCAGCCACACUGGAACUGAAACACGGUCCAG
rnacentral:rRNA from 1 species